rnacentral:rRNA from 1 species
UACGUAGGGUGCAAGCGUUAAUCGGAAUUACUGGGCGUAAAGCGUGCGCAGGCGGUUAUGCAAGACAGAGGUGAAAUCCCCGGGCUCAACCUGGGAACUGCCUUUGUGACUGCAUAGCUAGAGUACGGUAGAGGGGGAUGGAAUUCCGCGUGUAGCAGUGGAAAUGCGUAGAUAUGCGGAGGAACACCGAUGGCGAAGGCAAUCCCCUGGACCUGUACUGACGCUCAUGCACGAAAGCGUGGG